rnacentral:rRNA from 1 species
CAAUACAGCAGUGGCAGACGGGUGAGUAACGCGUGGGAAUCUACCUAGUGGUACGGAACAACCAAGGGAAACUUUGGCUAAUACCGUAUACGCCCUUCGGGGGAAAGAUUUAUCGCCAUUAGAUGAGCCCGCGUCGGAUUAGCUAGUUGGUAGGGUAACGGCCUACCAAGGCGACGAUCCGUAGCUGGUCUGAGAGGAUGAUCAGCCACAUUGGGACUGAGACACGGCCCAA